rnacentral:lncRNA from 1 species
GUUGCAAAUUCACAUAAGUAAUGCUAUACAUUGUGAAGUUUAAAUGGCUAAUUCAUUAUAUUUAUUUUUCAUUCAUUGAUUCAAUCUCAAACAGAACAAAUGCCUUCCAAUAUGAAUGUUAUAUUGUACAGGUUACAGAAUGGCCUUGGGUCAAGUUUUAUUCAAAAAAGAGUCCAACUAAUAAGGCAUGUACUUGGUGGAUAGAGAAUGAGCAACAUUAUAUUAUAUCCAAUGAUGAAGUGAUAAAGAAACUUUUGCCACCUACUAUCCAAAUGAAGGGACGUCGGAAAUAGUACAGCUUUAAUGGUAAUUAGCCAUCUGCUAAACAAAUAAUAUUAUACUAUUUAUACACAAGUUCCACGUUUGGAACUGAAAAGCCUACCUUUCUAAUUACCUGAUUCAAUCAGUUUCACUUGUUACAGAGUGUCCUGAAGUUGGUCCAGACCUGUCUUUUUAAUUACCAUCAUUGUGGUCAGUUUAUUGUCUAAUUCUUCCGAGUUUUAUUCGGUAUCUUUGAAUUUCUCUUAAGCUUACACACAGAAGGUAAGAACAAUAAAUGAACAAAUUCAAUACUUUGUCACGGAUAUAUGUGUGUUUUAAGUUAAAUGAAAUGGAAAUUGAUUACAUGAUUGAAACAAAAACAUCUUAUGAAUAUGUAAUAUAUUUCUUUUAUUUUUCAGGUUUAUAAGAAGAACAAAAAGGAGAAAUGCAGUCAUGACUUUGGGUUAUGUCACAAUUAAAAUCAACUAUAUAUCAAUAUUUUAUUUUUCUUUUGAUUAAAGUACAUUAAAAACAAACGCUUAAAGUUAGGAAACUAUCUAUACAUAUAUUUGUAAUGAAUAUCAGGGAAUCACAAUAUCAUACUUAAGAGC